rnacentral:rRNA from 1 species
CACGUAGGGCGCAAGCGUUGUCCCGAAUUAUUGGGCGUAAAGAGCUCGUAGGCGGUCUGUUGCGUCCGCUGUGAAAACUCGGGGCUUAACCCCGAGCCUGCAGUGGAUACGGGCAGACUAGAGGUAGGUAGGGGAGAAUGGAAUUCCCGGUGUAGCGGUGAAAUGCGCAGAUAUCGGGAGGAACACCGGUGGCGAAGGCGGUUCUCUGGGCCUUACCUGACGCUGAGGAGCGAAAGCGUGGGGAGCGAACAGG